UACGAAGGGGGGCUAGCGUUGCUCGGAAUUACUGGGCGUAAAGGGCGCGUAGGCGGAUAGUUUAGUCAGAGGUGAAAGCCCAGGGCUCAACCUUGGAAUUGCCUUUGAUACUGGCUAUCUUGAGUUCGGGAGAGGUGAGUGGAAUGCCGAGUGUAGAGGUGAAAUUCGUAGAUAUUCGGCGGAACACCAGUGGCGAAGGCGACUCACUGGCCCGAUACUGACGCUGAGGCGCGAAAGCGUGGGGAGCAAACAGGG
rnacentral:rRNA from 1 species